rnacentral:rRNA from 2 species
GGGUUGUGAGGUUAAGCGACUAAGCGUACACGGUGGAUGCCCUGGCAGUCAGAGGCGAUGAAGGGCGUGCUAAUCUGCGAUAAGCGCCGGUAAGGUGAUAUGAACCGUUAUAACCGGCGAUACCCGAAUGGGGAAACCCAGUGUGACUCGUCACACUAUCAUUAACUGAAUCCAUAGGUUAAUGAGGCGAACCGGGGGAACUGAAACAUCUAAGUACCCCGAGGAAAAGAAAUCAACCGAGAUUCCCCCAGUAGCGGCGAGCGAACGGGGAGGAGCCCAGAGCCUGAAUCAGCAUGUGUGUUAGUGGAAGCGUCUGGAAAGGCGCGCGAUACAGGGUGACAGCCCCGUACACAAAAGCGUAUGUGCUGUGAGCUCGAUGAGUAGGGCGGGACACGUGGUAUCCUGUCUGAAUAUGGGGGGACCAUCCUCCAAGGCUAAAUACUCCUGACUGACCGAUAGUGAACCAGUACCGUGAGGGAAAGGCGAAAAGAACCCCGGCGAGGGGAGUGAAAAAGAACCUGAAACCGUGUACGUACAAGCAGUGGGAGCCCCACCACUAAGCCAGUGGUGAACUCCACAUACGCAUCCUUUGCUGAGGAUACGGUUAACGGAGCGAAAGCGACGUUCAACCGCAAAAGAAGCAGAGGGGGCUUAGUGGUGGGGUGACUGCGUACCUUUUGUAUAAUGGGUCAGCGACUUAUAUUCUGUAGCAAGGUUAACCGAAUAGGGGAGCCGGAGGGAAACCGAGUCUUAACCGGGCGUUAAGUUGCAGGGUA